UCUCUGGUGGCUCAGACGGUAAAGUGUCUGCCUGCAAUGCAGGAGACCCAGGUUUGAUUCCUGGGUGGGGAA
rnacentral:tRNA from 1 species